rnacentral:rRNA from 1 species
CAGCCGCCGCGGUAAUACGUAGGUCCCGAGCGUUGUCCGGAUUUAUUGGGCGUAAAGCGAGCGCAGGCGGUUUGAUAAGUCUGAAGUUAAAGGCUGUGGCUCAACCAUAGUUCGCUUUGGAAGCUGUCAAACUUGAGUGCAGAAGGGGUGAGUGGAAUUCCAUGUGUAGCGGUGAAAUGCGUAGAUAUAUGGAGGAACACCGGUGGCGAAAGCGGCUCUCUGGUCUGUAACUGACGCUGAGGCUCGAAAGCGUGGGGAGCGAACAGGAUUAGAUACCCCAGUAGUCCCUGUCUCUUAUACA